rnacentral:rRNA from 1 species
CAGUAGCCGCGGGAAUACGAAGGGGGCUAGCGUUGCUCGGAAUGACUGGGCGUAAAGGGCGCGUAGGCGGCGAUCAAAGUCAGGCGUGAAAUUCCUGGGCUCAACCUGGGGGCUGCGUUUGAUACUUGAUUGCUAGAGUGGGGAAGAGGGUCGUGGAAUUCCCAGUGUAGAGGUGAAAUUCGUAGAUAUUCGGAAGAACACCAGUGGCGAAGGCGGCUUACUGGCUCAUACUGGACGCUGAGGUGCGAAAGCGUGGGGAGCAAACAGGAUUAGAUACCCCAGUAGUCCCUGUCUCUUAUAA